UGAAAGGUGACCCUUCUGAAUCCAGUGUCAGCAGACUAGCAUGGCUGUCCAGAUCACAGAUGAGGAAUGGUUUAAGCUGCAUCUCAUGUGAUCUCAGGGGACACAGCAUCAUCUCUAGAAGUUCAUUUAAAGAAAGGGGAUUAUGUUGGAAUUACCUACUUUGUUAGAGCCCUUGAGCUGGAAUCCUAUCAUGUCACAAACAAUGCUGAAGGAAUGUGCAAACUUCAAGAAAUUAAUCCCUAAGAGAUGGUCUGCAUUUCAUCCAGAUAACCUCAAAAUUUAUACCUAAGGCACCCAGGAACAUGGGGCAGUAUCAGUUUUUGUUUUUUUUUAAUAAAGAAAUUCUCCCUUGGCUUAACCCAGUCUCUUCCACCACCAAACACCAUUUCUCCUGUUCUAGACAUCCUGGCAAUAGAGAAUGACAGGUCUGCCUUCUCUUCUUAGAAGUCAUUGAGCUUGUGAAGCAGGGCCUUUUCUCUCUUUGUGCAAUUCCAAUUCUUCCCUUGAUUACCAUACCAUGGGCAUGAGCUCCAUGCCCAGUAUUUGGCGUCUGGAUCCAUUUCCUAGAGAUUGACAGUGUCUCUAGUGUCAGGGAGAGGA
rnacentral:lncRNA from 1 species